rnacentral:lncRNA from 1 species
ACCACGCGUACCUUCCACCCCACUCUCUCUCUCUCUCUCUCUCUCUCUUCUUUCCUUGAAAAUUCUUCAUCUUCACCACUACUAUAACACACCCAUAAACACACACACACACACAUAUAUAUAUAGCCAUCAAUUCAUUCAACAUUCAUUCAUUAUCCCUUUGAAUUUUUUUCUAAUUCCCUCCGGCCCAACAAUUUAAUUUUCUCCCAUUCUAGUACGUACUCCGAUAUAUCCUCCUGUUUGAUCUUCUUCUCUUGUAUUUAAUUAUUUGAAGACGACGAUGAUGAUGAUGAUGAACUCAAUAAUGAGAAUAUUGGUGGCUCUUCCGAUCAUUGGAUUCAUGUUUAUGGCGAUUUUGCAAGUGGGUGAGGCUAAGGAAUUAUUUGGUCCAUCACCUGCACCAAAUGGUCCGGCCAAUGACGGCUCAGCCAUUGAUCAAGGGGUUGCCUAU